CCUACGUGGUGCAGCAGUGAGGAAUAUUGGUCAAUGGGCGCGAGCCUGAACCAGCCAAGUAGCGUGAAGGAUGACUGCCCUACGGGUUGUAAACUUCUUUUAUAAAGGAAUAAAGUGAGGCACGUGUGCCUUUUUGUAUGUACUUUAUGAAUAAGGAUCGGCUAACUCCGUGCCAGCAGCCGCGGUAAUACGGAGGAUCCGAGCGUUAUACGGAUUUAUUGGGUUUAACGGGAGCGUAGAUGGGUUGUUAAGUCAGUUGUGAAAGUUUGCGGCUCAACCGUAAAAUUGCAAUUGAUACUGGCAGUCUUGAGUACAGUUGAGGUAGGCAGAAUUCGUGGUGUAGCGGUGAAAUGCUUAGAGAUGACGAAGAACUCCGAUUGCGAAGGCAGCUUACUAAACUGCCACUGACAUUGAUGCUCGAAAGUGUGGGUAUCAAACAGGAUUAGAUACCCUAGUAGUC
rnacentral:rRNA from 1 species